rnacentral:lncRNA from 1 species
AAUUAUAUUUAAUUACAAGUGUGCCCCUGGUAGUCUUUAACUGAAGGGCACUGACUGGGUCACUGGUGAAGUUCCCCGCAGGAACUGAGUCAGACCCCAUCUCAGGGCCCUGCACAAGAUAGGUGCCUGCUCUAAGGCGUGGACCCUCGCCACAGCCCUGGCCCGUCUUGACGGGCGAGGGUUACUGUACUUGUCCCAACCGUACAGAUGAGAAAGCUGAGACUCAGGGCCAGCAACCCGGGUCCCAGCGGAGCGCCCGGCACACGCCGACACUUCAGCACCAGUGGCGGUGGCCACCACUGUGGGCGGAGAUGGCUGCGACGCGUGCGCAGGUAAAGUCUAUGCGCGCCUUGCCUCCCACCGGCGCCUUCCCCGGCCUCUGGUUUUUGUCCCCGCCAGCGGCUCCGACUCCAUCGCGUCCUCUUCCAGUCUAGUGCUUUUUUCCAGAUCUCGAUCCCAAACUCCCUCCUGCCAGAAUCUGGACCCGAAUCCACCCAUUGCCCGUUUUCCGCUGCCGCUGGAGAGAAUCUCUGAGGUCCCCAGGAGAGCCUGCCUGCACGGAAGAGACGCCUCCUCGUGUCUUAGAAGUCAUGAAAAUUUCAGAAAAUGACAGGUCUUCUGAGUUCGUGAUGGGAGUUGGGCAGCAGUCGCAUACGAGCACCUGGAGAGUCCUUGCCAGUUCUUUGGGGAUGGGGAGCUCUUAAGACUGCCCUGAGACCGCCCUUUGACCUCAU